GACGAACGCUGGCGGCGUGCUUAACACAUGCAAGUCGAACGGAAAGGCCCUGCUUGCAGGGUACUCGAGUGGCGAACGGGUGAGUAACACGUGGGUGAUCUGCCCUGCACUUCGGGAUAAGCCUGGGAAGCUGGGUCUAAUACCGGAUAGGACCAUCAUUUAGUGUCGGUGGUGGAAAGUUUUUCGGUGCAGGAUGAGCUCGCGGCCUAUCAGCUUGUUGGUGGGGUAAUGGCCUACCAAGGCGUCGACGGGUAGCCGGCCUGAGAGGGUGGACGGCCACAUUGGGACUGAGACACGGCCCAGACUCCUACGGGAGGCAGCAGUGGGGAAUAUUGCACAAUGGGCGCAAGCCUGAUGCAGCGACGCCGCGUGGGGGAUGAAGGCCUUCGGGUUGUAAACUCCUUUCAACCAUGACGAAGCUUUUUGUGACGGUAGUGGUAGAAGAAGCACCGGCUAACUACGUGCCAGCCGCCGCAGUAA
rnacentral:rRNA from 1 species